rnacentral:rRNA from 1 species
UGGGGAAUAUUGGACAAUGGGCGAAAGCCUGAUCCAGCCAUGCCGCGUGUGUGAAGAAGGUCUUCGGAUUGUAAAGCACUUUAAGUUGGGAGGAAGGGCAGUAAGCGAAUACCUUGCUGUUUUGACGUUACCGACAGAAUAAGCACCGGCUAACUCUGUGCCAGCAGCCGCGGUAAUACAGAGGGUGCAAGCGUUAAUCGGAAUUACUGGGCGUAAAGCGCGCGUAGGUGGUUCGUUAAGUUGAAUGUGAAAUCCCCGAGCUUAACUUGGGAAUUGCAUUCGAUACUGGUUAGCUAGAGUGUGGGAGAGGAUGGUAGAAUUCCAGGUGUAGCGGUGAAAUGCGUAGAGAUCUGGAGGAAUACCGAUGGCGAAGGCAGCCAUCUGGCCUAACACUGACGCUGAGGUACGAAAGCAUGGGGAGCAAACAGG